rnacentral:tRNA from 1 species
GUCUGUGUGGCUCAGUUGGUAGAGCAUGGUGUUUGCAACGCCAGGGUUGUGGGUUCGAUUCCCACGGCGGACC